UACGAAGGGGGCUAGCGUUGUUCGGAAUUACUGGGCGUAAAGCGCACGUAGGCGGAUUGGUCAGUUAGGGGUGAAAUCCCAGGGCUCAACCCUGGAACUGCCUUUAAUACUGCCGGUCUAGAGUUCGAGAGAGGUGAGUGGAAUUCCGAGUGUAGAGGUGAAAUUCGUAGAUAUUCGGAGGAACACCAGUGGCGAAGGCGGCUCACUGGCUCGAUACUGACGCUGAGGUGCGAAAGCGUGGGGAGCAAACAGG
rnacentral:rRNA from 2 species